UACGUAGGGUGCGAGCGUUAAUCGGAAUUACUGGGCGUAAAGCGUGCGCAGGCGGUUAUUUAAGUCAGGUGUGAAAUCCCCGGGCUCAACCUGGGAAUUGCGAUGGAGACUGCAAGGCUAGAAUCUGGCAGAGGGGGGUAGAAUUCCACGUGUAGCAGUGAAAUGCGUAGAGAUGUGGAGGAACACCGAUGGCGAAGGCAGCCCCCUGGAUCAAGAUUGACGCUCAUGCACGAAAGCGUGGGGAGCAAACAGG
rnacentral:rRNA from 1 species